rnacentral:rRNA from 1 species
UACGGAGGAUGCGAGCGUUAUCCGGAUUUAUUGGGUUUAAAGGGUGCGUAGGCGGGCUGUUAAGCCGGCGGUAAAAAUUCAGGGCUCAACCCUGUCGAGCCGUCGGAACUGGCAGUCUUGAGUGGGCGAGAAGUAUGCGGAAUGCGCAGUGUAGCGGUGAAAUGCAUAGAUAUCACGAAGAACUCCGAUUGCGAAGGCAGCUUACCAGUCUGCGACUGACGCUCAGGCACGAAAGUGUGGGUAUCGAACAGG